rnacentral:rRNA from 1 species
CCUACGGUAGGCAGCAGUGGGGAAUAUUGCACAAUGGGGGAAACCCUGAUGCAGUGACGCCGCGUGAGUGAAGAAGUAUUGCGGUAUGUAAAGCUCUAUCAGCAGGGAAGAAAAUGACGGUACCUGAUUAAGAAGCCCCGGCUAACUAGGUGCCAGCAGCCGCGGUGAUACGUAGGGGGCAAGCGUUAUCCGGAUUUACUGGGUGUAAAGGAAGCGUAGACGGCAGCACAAGUCUGGAGUGAAAUGCCGGGGCUUAACCCCGGAACUGCUUUGGAAACUGUGCAGCUAGAGGGCAGGAGAGGUAAGUGGAAUUCCUAGUGUAGCGGUGAAAUGCGUAGAUAUUAUGAGGAACACCAGUGGCGAAGGCGGCUUACUGGACUGUAACUGACGUUGAGGCUCGAAAGCGUGGGGAGCAAACAGGAUUAGAUACCCGGGUAGUC